rnacentral:rRNA from 1 species
GAUGAACGCUGGCGGCGUGCCUAAUACAUGCAAGUCGAGCGAACAGAUAAGGAGCUUGCUCCUUUGACGUUAGCGGCGGACGGGUGAGUAACACGUGGGUAACCUACCUAUAAGACUGGAAUAACUCCGGGAAACCGGGGCUAAUGCCGGAUAACAUUUAGAACCGCAUGGUUCUAAAGUGAAAGAUGGUUUUGCUAUCACUUAUAGAUGGACCCGCGCCGUAUUAGCUAGUUGGUAAGGUAACGGCUUACCAAGGCAACGAUACGUAGCCGACCUGAGAGGGUGAUCGGCCACACUGGAACUGAGACACGGUCCAGACUCCUACGGGAGGCAGCAGUAGGGAAUCUUCCGCAAUGGGCGAAAGCCUGACGGAGCAACGCCGCGUGAGUGAUGAAGGUCUUCGGAUCGUAAAACUCUGUUAUUAGGGAAGAGCAAAUGUGUAAGUAGCUGUGCACAUCUUGACGGUACCUAAUCAGAAAGCCACGGCUAACUACGUG